GACGAACGCUGGCGGCGUGCUUAACACAUGCAAGUCGAACGGAAAGGUCCUGCUUUUGUGGGGUGCUCGAGUGGCGAACGGGUGAGUAACACGUGAGUAACCUGCCCUUGACUUUGGGAUAACUUCAGGAAACUGGGGCUAAUACCGGAUAGGAGCUCCUGCUGCAUGGUGGGGGUUGGAAAGUUUCGGCGGUUGGGGAUGGACUCGCGGCUUAUCAGCUUGUUGGUGGGGUAGUGGCUUACCAAGGCUUUGACGGGUAGCCGGCCUGAGAGGGUGACCGGCCACAUUGGGACUGAGAUACGGCCCAGACUCCUACGGGAGGCAGCAGUGGGGAAUAGUGCACAAUGGGCGGAAGCCUGAUGCAGCAACGCCGCGUGCGGGAUGACGGCCUUCGGGUUGUAAACCGCUUUCGCCUGUGACGAAGCGUGAGUGACGGUAAUGGGUAAAGAAGCACCGGCUAACUACGUG
rnacentral:rRNA from 1 species